GAAAAUUCCAGCAGAGAGCCCCGAGGAGCUCCUGGUGCGGAUCUGCAGCAGCAGGAGGGUGCAGGAUGCUGCCUCCGGCCGGGAGCCUGGCCCCGGAGGGGAUGAGGGAUCCCAGCGGCGCUGGAAGGAGUCGAUCUGCCAGAUCCUGGGGGAAAUCCAGGCCCCGCUCUCCCCUCUGCUGCUGAGGCUGUGCCACUGGCUGCUCCCCAAGCUCCUGACCCGUCUGUUCCUGGGCGUGCAGCUGCACCGGGGGCAGCUGGAGAUGGUGCUGCGAGCUGCCAGGACGCCCGAGGUGCCGCUGGUGUUCCUGUGCAGCCACCAGUCCCCGGUGGAUGGGCUGCUGCUGUCCUUCGUCCUCCUGUCCCAGGGCAUCGGGCUGCCCAGGGUGACCAUGGGCGCCGGGACCAGCCCCCGUCUGCGGUGAGGCAGCACCCUGGGAUGCUCCCAGAGCAUCCAGGGGAUGCAGGGGUUGCCCACGGUGUCCUUCCCUCGCCAGAUCCCUGCUCCAACGCCUGGGAGGGAUUUUCCUGCCUUCAGGAGUGGCG
rnacentral:lncRNA from 1 species